UACGGGGGGGGGCAAGCGUUGUUCGGAAUUACUGGGCGUAAAGCGCACGUAGGCGGCUUUGUAAGUUAGAGGUGAAAGCCCGGGGCUCAACUCCGGAAUUGCCUUUAAGACUGCAUCGCUAGAAUUGUGGAGAGGUAAGUGGAAUUCCGAGUGUAGAGGUGAAAUUCGUAGAUAUUCGGAAGAACACCAGUGGAGAAGGCGACUUACUGGACACAUAUUGACGCUGAGGUGCGAAAGCGUGGGGAGCAAACAGG
rnacentral:rRNA from 1 species